UUUUAGGGCCACACUUGAGGAAUAUGAAGGUUCCUAGGCUAGGGGUCCAAUUGGAGCUAUAGCUGCUGGCCUGUGCCACAGCCACAGCAACACAGGAUCUAAGCCUCUUCUGCAGUCUACACCACAGCUCGCUCAUGGCAACACCAGAGCCUUAACCCAAUGAGCGAGGCCAGGGAUCGAACCUGUGUCGUUAUGGAUACUAGUCAGAUCUGUUUCUGCCGAGUUACAAUGAGAACUCCAAUUACCUUAUUCUUGUAAUUUAGUAAAUUUAGCUCAAAAAGAUCCACAAAUUUAGAAUAUGGUUUUGCCAGAAUCUUCACAGGCUGACCAGGCAUUGUAGUUCUGCUUUGAGCUAUGUUCAGAAAUUUGUUCUUAAGAUUUUGUGGUUUAUUUAAAUACUUUACCACCAAAGAGAUUCCCAGGAAAUUAAAUGCUUUCAGGUUGACCUUGUAAAGCUGUAAUCUCUCAUUUUGCAUGUCCAAUUAGUAGCAGAGCUUGUUUAGGGCACAAGCUGCCAUUUAAGGGCCUUGUGAAGUCCUACAUUCAUAUGUCCAGUUCAUUCAUAUGUCACAUCCACAGAAGACUGCUGGCCUUACUUUCAGUCUACUGAGGCAACGUAACUGUGUUCUGUUGCAUCAGUUUUCAGCAGUAGCUGUUCCCCUACUCAUUUCUCUCCUACACUCCUGAUGCUAGAAUUUCUGAUGUUUUAUUAACUUUAAUUCAUUUUUAACUCCCUUGUAUAAUAUAUUUCCCUCUACUAAAUAUUAUCCAUUUGAUAACCCCUCCUAUUCAGUCUAAAUAGGAAAAUGUUUAGAUAGACAUGUCUGAGAAAUUGACAUCUAUAAGUUCAUUUCCAGGAUGAUACAUGGUUCUGAACAGUAUUGAGUUGUAAUGUUGUCAACAUAAUUCAUCUAAAGAGGAUAAAUAAUUUAUUCUCAUGGGGAUAAUUUUGUUUAGGAGAGAUGACUUUCUUUGCCUGGGCCCAACUAAGAUAUAAGAAGGAGACUGGCAAUGCACUUGUUUUCUCUAAGUCUACAAAUCUUGGCAAAAUAAUUUUCCUUUAUCUUUUUAUACAUUUUAAAAAUAGAUAAUUUAGAAUAUCAAUGUGAGGUUGCCAUUUCUUAAUAGAAAAUGGGUGAAUGCAUACUCCUACAAUAGAAAAUAAAAUAAUAAUGCUUUAAAACGGGCAUUGGCAAAUUGCGGACAGUGGGUCAAAUUUGGCCUGCAGCCUCUUUCUGUAUGACCCAUGAGUAACCAUGGUUUUUACAUUUUUAAAGUUGUAAACACACACGUACAUACACACACACCAGAACCAAAUCCGACUAGGAACCAUGAGGUCGUGGGUUUGAUCCCCGGCCUCGUUCAGUGGGUUAAGGAUCUGGCAUGGCCAUGAGCUGUGGUAUAGCUUGCAGAUGCAGCUUGGAUCCUGCAUUGCUGCAGCUGUGGCAAAGGCUGACAGCUGCAGCUCCGAUUAGACCCCUAACCUGGGAACCUCUAUAUGCCUUGGGCCCAGCCCUAAAAAGUAAAUAAAUAAAUAAAAUAUUUUCUAUGGAAUAGGUAGAUAAAAUUUUAUAUGUAUUACCUCAGUGAAAUCUCAGAGGAAGCUUAAAUGUAUUGAGAAUUGAAGUAUCAUCCCCAUUUUGGGGAUAAGAAAACUGAGAUGUGAAAGGUUAAUAUCACAUACCUUCUAAGUGUCAGAGGUAAGACUUAUACUAAGGCAGUUGGGGAAUUAGAGAUUGUAUCUAUAACCAGUAUACUGUAGCGCUUCAGAAUCUGACCUGACAUCAUUUGUUUGCUUUGGGUGGGUGUGGGUGUGUGUGUGUGUAUGGGGGGGGAGUGUGUGUGUAUGUGUCUGAAUCCCCCUCUUGACAUCAAUCUACAGUUAGUCAAAAUAGGGUGGUGAUUAUGUGAUUGGCAGAAGGCAGAAUAUUGUUUAAACAUAAGACAGGAGUUCCCACUGUGGCACAAAGGGUUAAUGAUCCAGCAUUGCCACAGUUGUGGCAUAGGUUGCAGCUGUGGCUAGGAUUCAAUCCCUGGCCCUGGAAUUUCCAUAUACUGCAGGUGCAUCCCCCCAAACAAACAAACAAACAAACAAACAAAAAAAACAAGACAAAGUAUAUGAGUUUCUAGAAGCAUGUAAAGGGCAAAGCUACUGCACAGAAAUUGGCAAUACAGUGCAGUAAACACAGCAGCACUAUCAGUUGAAUGAGUAAGACGCUCUUGCUCUCAAAUCCCCAUAAAGUUGUCUGCCUACUAAUAAUACUACUUAAUUGGGGUGAUGACUCUUUAGGACACUAUCGUUGACAACCUCAUAGUGGUUUUAUAUGUAAUCCUGGUCCCUCUCAGCUGUUGUCUACAAAUUUAUGCUAUAUGCCUGUCUGCCCAACAUUUGAAAAUACUGUAAUUGGUAACACUUCCAAAGCAUCCUUCAGUGCUAUUGUGACUGGAUAGAUUAAAGGUAAAUUCUGCUUCCACUCCAUUGGCAGGUUUUAGGCUUCAGGUCUGCCUGAAGCAUAUUCCUGCAGUAGACAGUUUGCUCUUUUUUCUGAUAGCUUUUCUUCUCUUACUUGGUUUUUCUAUAUGUAAAUUCCAGGAGAGCUUUGAUUUGUUAUGAAAGAAUUCCUAUCUCUAUUGCAACUUUCUCCUGUGCAUUACUCUGGGCUCUGGCCCCCUCAAUUACAGUUUCUUUGUUGGUUUAAUUUUAUCGCCUUUGGUUUUGCAGGUAUCUGUUAAAAUCUUUAGCUUGUCAUUAUACAUUCAGCACCUUUAUAAAUUUAUUCCUUUUCUAGAUUUAUAGCAUUAUUUCAAGAGGACUUUUGGGAGGGAAAGAGAAGUAAACAUAUGUACCGGCUCCAUCAUUUUGAACUAGAACCUAUCAAAAUUUAUGUGGCAAGGAAAUGCAUUUGGGGAUAUACUGAUAGGUUUCCUUCCACUUGUUUUAUUGCAUUUCUUUGCCUUUAUUUUGGGAGCUUUCCCAUCAGCCCUGGAAUGAUGAAAAUAAGAGAAUCCAAGAAGCAAUUCUUCAUUUUAAGUUCAAAAAUCUAUGAUGGAACACAGAAAACUUUUGGGCAGAUAUAUUAGUUUCUUGUCCCUAGACUAGGAAAGACUCUGUGCAAUGGGAAAGGGAAGAGAAGAGGGACUACAUGGACUGACAUGAUGUCAAUCUCAAGAGAUGACCAAGCUCUGU
rnacentral:lncRNA from 1 species